UACAGAGGGUGCAAGCGUUAAUCGGAAUUACUGGGCGUAAAGCGUGCGUAGACGGUUACAUAAGUCGGGUGUGAAAGCCCCGGGCUCAACCUGGGAAUGGCGAUGAAGACUGCAAGGCUAGAAUCUGGCAGAGGGGGGUAGAAUUCCACGUGUAGCAGUGAAAUGCGUAGAGAUGUGGAGGAACACCGAUGGCGAAGGCAGCCCCCUGGGUCAAGAUUGACGCUCAUGCACGAAAGCGUGGGGAGCAAACAGG
rnacentral:rRNA from 1 species